UACAGAGACUGCAAGCGUUAUUCGGAUUCACUGGGCGUAAAGGGUGCGCAGGCGGUCGGGUGUGUCGGAUGUGAAAUCCCGAGGCUCAACCUCGGAACUGCGUCUGAAACUACUCGACUAGAGUACUGGAGAGGGUAACGGAAUUCACGGUGUAGCAGUGAAAUGCGUAGAUAUCGUGAGGAACACCAGAGGCGAAGGCGGCGAACUGGACAGCAACUGACACUCAACUGCGAAAGCGUGGGGAGCAAACAGG
rnacentral:rRNA from 1 species